GCCGCCGCCAGCUCAGCGCCCAGCCGCCGCCCGCGCGUCCGAGGGGCGCCCCCUCUGCUGACUCCGGGAGACCCUCCGGGCCGCGCGCGCGGCGGAGGCAUGGCCGCGAGGGCCGCGCGCAAGGCGAAGCCGGUGCUGGAGGUGCCCCCACAGCCCGAGCAGCUGGUAACCCUGUUGCAGAUGUGGGUUGUCCCUUUGUACUUCACGAUAAAACUUUACUGGUGGCGAUUUCUGUCUAUGUGGGGACUGUUCUCCGUUAUUACCAGUUACAUCCUGUUCAGAGCUACCCGAAAACCCCUCUCAGGGAGAACGCCGCGGUUGGUCUACAAAUGGUUUCUUCUAAUCUACAAACUCAGCUAUGCAUUUGGUGUUGUGGGUUAUUUGGCCAUCAUAUUUACAAUGUGUGGACUCCAUUUAUUUUUCAAAAUCAAGGCUAGAGAUUCCAUGGAUUUCGGCAUUGUGUCCUUGUUCUAUGGCCUCUAUUAUGGCAUAAUGGGGAGAGACUUUGCAGAGAUCUGCUCAGAUUACAUGGCUUCUACUAUAGGGUUCUACAGUGUCAGUGGGAUGCCCACAAGGAGCCUGUCAGACAGUAUCUGCGCCAUCUGUGGACAGAAGAUCAUUGUGGAGCUCGAUGAAGAAGGGCUCAUUGAAAACACCUACCAGCUGUCAUGCAAUCAUAUCUUUCAUGAAUUCUGCAUCCGAGGUUGGUGUAUUGUUGGGAAAAAGCAGACGUGCCCUUACUGCAAAGAGAAGGUUGAUUUGAAGAGGAUGAUCAGUAACCCCUGGGAACGUACACACAUUUUGUAUGGACAAAUCCUGGACUGGCUUCGUUAUCUGGUGGCCUGGCAACCCAUGGUGAUAGGGAUAGUACAAGUUAUUAACUAUUCACUAGGGCUGGAAUAGCACAGCAGACUUACCCCAGAAGUAAUGUAUUGACUUAUUUGUUGAAACAUCUCUAAAUCCUUGAUCCUUCAUUUAAUAUUGACUUUUUUUCAUUUUAGAGAUGAUCCCAAAAGAGAACUGAAUAAAAUUUGGUCUAUAUAAGGCAAUUCGUAUAUGUGGAAAGACUUUAAAGAGCUGAACAACAGAAUAAACAAAUGAUGCGUGCCUUGCAUCUUUGCCAUCAUGAUUGUUUUCUAAUCCAUGCAUGUGACAACCCCCCACCACACACACACACAUCCCAUCUCUAGUUUGGCUGAUAAUGAUCUCAUCUGUAAAAUGUUUUCAGAGGUUUGCAAAAUACUUCUCACAUAGAACAUUUAGUUACAAUGAAUACCUUCUGAUCAAUUGAAAAUCUUCAAAGAAGUAGUUAAGAAGUUGGUACUGUUAACACUCUCCCAGGAGUUUGCACAAGACAGAAGAAACACUAUGUGACUGUCUCAAGGGCCAAAGCCUGUUUUGCACUUCAUGAACUUAUUUCUUUGGGUUAUUUUUCUGCGAACAACGAUCCCC